rnacentral:lncRNA from 1 species
UUAAUUCGUGUCUUGCUUUAAGUGUGCAUUACGAGUAAAUACUUAGUAACUUUCAACAUACAUAAAAUUCAAAAACUAGUCACACUCCUCGUGGAUUUGAUCUCAACUCAAAUUGGGUUAUUAUAUUGACAACAAUCUUCUUGUCCCAAAAUAAUGAAGUAAGUUAAGCGUGAUCAAUCAACACCAAAAAUCAGUCACCAAUUUGUUUAGACAAAUACUUAAAAGUGUUUAUAUAUUUGCACCUAAAAACAACAUAACUAAAUCUACUCAAUUGUAAUCACUUUGUUUUCAUCUGGAGUAAUGAAGUUGGGUUUAGGUAUUGGUGGAUCUUCACUGUCACUAACAUAGCCAUUCUCAGCCUUGACAUGUCCAUAAUUGUACAGGAGUAAAGCAUAUCUCAUUCAAAGAAAUUUAGCAUCAAUCCUAGAAUAUGAUACUUGUUGUCCAUCACUUAGAAACUUAGCGAACAAAGCAACAAAUAGUCCACAAUUCCUGCAUAAUUUAUCAUUUAUUAGUAGGCUAAAAUAUUUGCGUGGUACAUGAAUAGAAAAUGUUAAAUAAAAACGAUGCAAGAAAACUGUAGUGUAACAAAUCUAAAAAUAAUAAAUACAUAAUUCUGCACAUGUAACACAACUAAAAUAAACAACACAUGUAACAUAACUAAAAUAAACAACACAAGUAAUAUAACUAAUAUAACAAGAGAUACAUAAUUUUACACAUGUAACAUAACUAAAAUUAACAGGAGAGACAUAAUUCUACAUAGUUAACAAAUUAAAAUUAACGAGAGAUGCAAAAUUUUACCUACGUAAUUAACUAAAAAUAACAAUAGAUACAUAAUCAUGCACUUGUAACUGACUAAAAAUACGAAGAGAUAAAAAGAGAUAUAAGAAAACUAAACUAAACAUUCGAGAGAUACAAACGUAUUCUUAGUUAAUAAACUCGGAUAACAAGAGAUACAAAAAAAUUGCAUAGGUAUUUUUGUUUGAGAUACAAGAAAACUAUAUUAGUAAUUUGCUUAAUAUACAAACAUAUAAUACCUUCAUAAAAGAUUUUCUUGAUGUAACUUCAACAUCUCUUCGUUUUGCAUCACGAGAAAUACAUUUAGAAGCACCAUGGACACUUCUUUCGCCAUCAGAACCAACUUUCUUCUUUAUUUUAAGUGCUUUCUUUAAUUUCUUCAACGUAAUGAGAUAGUUGUUAUUUUUUGAUCGACUUUUGUUCAACGCUUCAAAUUACACAGCUUUAAACAACAAUGAAAAUAAACUAAUUUAAGAGAAAUAAGGAUAAAAGUCUACUGUGGAUGAAUCGAUUCACGGUAACUUUGAACCUCAUUUUUUCAACAACAAUGAAAGUUUAUUGUUUUUAUCUCAAGAAAUUUUAAAUUUGUUGAGAUGAAAAAUAAAGAUGAAGAUGGGAGAAACUUGCAUAAUUCAAAAAUUGGAUAAUAGGAAAAUAAUUACAGCAAUUACUGCAUGAUUUGCGCCGCACCUUUAAAAUUCUGAAGGAGUUGAGAUAAUAAUGACAAGAAAUCAGC